CCGUUUAAGCGGCCUACACGUGGGGCACUACCUGUUCGUUCCUUCGCUGGGUUUUCCCCCUGCCCACCCACCCUUGGUUUGAGCUAGUAGUCAAUGACUUUGCUGUGGCUACGGUGAUCGCUGUUCUGGAUGGGGCCAGGUAGGAAUUUGCCCACCGGGCUAACUGGCACUGUCCUGGUGGUUUUGCCUACCUCAUAGCAAUUGUCACAAGUGGUUGGCAUUGGGUCAAUCUUUUGUUUUGGACGGAGGGGAGGUUGUAGUCCCCACCUGCCCCUCCAAACGCUGGGGUAUCCCAUUAAAGGGAUCAGGGGGGAGUGGCCAUGUCCGUGUGCCCAGGGGGCCCAGGGCUGAAGGCACUCCCCCAGAUGGCGGUCCCUGGGGGGGGGUCACCCUAUAUGCUGUAAGUGUUAGGAACCCCCAUCUGGAUUGACAACGCGUCAUUUCCAGCGGGCGGGCCGGAAGUGUUUAGAUUGCCCCAUGCCCAAACCAAAUCAAGAUUGCCCCAUGCCAAGCCAAUAAAGUUGUGGCCUGUUUUGACCCCAAACCAGUCUUGUUGGUCUCUUAUUUAUAUGGGUUGGGGUUUAGGGAGCCUUACGCCUGGUCUCACAAGUGAAUUAUGGCAGGCACCUACACUUUGGUUACUCCAGAAACCACUGAAGCCAUUUCCCUUUUGCCAAGCUUUUCCAACUGCGUGGAAAAGUUUCUGCCUUAAGUUUUCAACCUGCAUUAUUUUCCAAACCUUGUUUUUAGUUGUCUUUUUUUUUGUACCUGCUUUUAAAGCUAUUUUCAGUUUCUUUUAUGGAAACCGCCUUGGAAAGCUAUUCAUUAAUAACAAUAACAAUAAUCUCUAAAGAUGGACACCCCGAUAAAUCCAUUACGUCAGAGUCUAAGACCACUGUACCAUUAAACACACUUACCUGGGAGGAAUCAUAGAAUUGUGGAGUUGGAAGGGACAGUGAGGAUCAUCUAGUCCAACCCCAGGAAUAUGCAGCUGUCCCAAUUGGGGAUCGAACCUGCAACUUUGGCGUUGUCAGCACCACGCUCUAGCCAACUGAGCUAUCCAAGCCCCACCAAAUUCAGCAAGGGCAAUGACGUAAAAGAAACAAUGAGAGACUAAUGAAAUCCUGGCCUUUUACCCUGUGCUACGAGACUGGAUGGCUAGAUGGAGCGUGUGCGUUUUUUCCUGUUUGAAUCUGUACGACGAUUUGAGAGAAAGACAAGUUAACCAUACAGAUAUUGGUCACAUGCGAUGUAUAGUUGAACUGUGGAAUCCCUUUCCAUGAGAGCCAGCAAUGGCUACCGACUUUGGGGUGGCUUCGAAAGAGGAUUAGACAAAUUUGCGGAGGAGCAACCUAGCCGUGGCUACUAGCCGUGAUGACAAUAGUCUCCCUCCACUGUCUGUAGCAAUGAAGCCUCUGAAUACCAGUUGGCGAGGAUCACAGACUGUGCUAGAUGCUGCACAGAACCUAGAACAGAUGUCACCCCUACGUAGAAGGACUUAAAGGAAGAUGGAAGUUACUUUAGGCAUGAAAAACCGCAGAGAGACAGAAAGGGGUAAACAGAGACUAAGGAGGUUAUUCUCAGACGGAGGCUCUGCGUCAUCUUACCAAUUAACAGCUUGGGACUAGUUUACUUGAGCGAUCGAGCUUGCACUUUCACAAGUGCCAAAUAAUCUGCAUUCCGUACUUAUGAUAAAGCAAUCUCUAAGUGUGUAGCACCUGCAGUUUUACAGUUUCAGCACCAGCAAGUCCAUCCCAACACGUAGGAGGGAAAGCCUCUACAACAGAAGAGCAUACAUAGAGAUGGUUCCAUAUUCCCAUCCUACUGAAAGCAGGCCCAUUUAAGUCAAUGGGACUACUCUGAGUAU